ensembl:lncRNA
AUGCGCUCUGCCCGCCCCGCCGCCGCCGCCGCGGUUGACAGGAAUCAAACACCAAGGAGUAAAAUCUCACACUUUAAGUCCCAUCAAGAGGUGACGAUGUUCUUCCCUCACCAAGAUUACUGAUUCAAGAAAAGAUUUGCAAAGCCAAAAAGGAGAACAAGAUACCUAAUUGCAUCUGGCAAUGCUGUAUUUCUAUUACAAUUAACUUGGAAAAUCCACUUCCCACAUACCUUUGUGUAAUACAUUCCCUUUCUUUCCUACAAAGAGUGCUACAAAUAUGUAGAGGAAUAAAGUGAUUUUUAAAGACAACCUAUGGCUUGAUUGUGAAUUUCAUGCACUUCAAAUUCUUCUUUCCAAACUGACAAGGAAAAGUAUCUGAUAAUAAGAUCAUGGGCAGCCCAACAAGAAGGGAGCAGCUGCUCAAUGCAGGGUACCUUGGAAGAGUACUUGGAGUGAAUAGCAGUGAAGAUGGAGGUCCAUCUUCAUACAAGCCAGUACUGACUUUCAUGCAACAGCAAGGCCUCUUGAUGCACGUGGGAUAAGACAGUGGUAACAGACCAGUGGAACAAACCAGGUGUGAUCGUAAAGAGUUGACUUUCUACUGGUCAUCCCUUUGAAAUCACAAUCUCAGUACACACUCCUUUUUGGGGUGCAAAGGGGUAAAGUCAGUUCCAUUCUUUACUCAAUUUCUUGUUAUUAUAAAUAUAAAAUGUAAGCUAUUGUGUGCCACUUCUCAUAUGUCACAUACUCUACAGUGGUUGGUAAAGUAAAUGAGCUGCUUUUUGGAAGCAUGAUUACUCACUGGAGAUUUUGGUAUUCAUUUUCACUGGGAAGAAUUAAAGUUAUUUUCUCUCUUGAUUUCUUUGUUUAGAAAGAACAGCAUUUUGAAUGUCACUAAAUAAACUUUAAUACUCAUG